ACUCGCACCGGCUGGGGAUGGCACGCAAGGACCGUGUUUUUCGCCCUCCCUUUGGGCAAAGGCCGCCGUGUCACAGCCCGUCCCUGCUAGCAGACACGUACGCGGUUUGCCGGGGAGGGCUGGGGCUCCUUGCCCAGCGGCGGGGGGGGAUUUGCCGUGCUAUUCGAUAGCCCGCAGCGAUAAAUGAGAUCUCCCCGGGGCAGCUGGCCCACACGCAGCGCGGCGGCGCGGAGGGACCGCACGUUUGCGCUCCCCUUCCCUCCAACGCGCUGCCGAGCGCCGCGCUCGCUCGCUCGCUCGCCGCGGUCGGCACGCCGUCGGGAGCGUGGCCCUUCGGCCCCGCGGUGCUGCCGGGCACGGCGACAGGCGCGACGGCAGCGACGGGCGCGACAGCAGCCGGAGGCCGGACGGCGGGUACGGCCGCGCCCGCUCGCUCCGUAGGGAAGAGGCAAUCCAUCAAAACAUCGCUCGCACAGACCCUCGCCGUCAGCCGGGGCCAAAAGCCCCUGGAUUCAUCAUCGCUUUUGCACUCAGGGAUUACUCUAGCGAGAAAUACUCCUCGUUGCCGAAAGGAUAAGAUAACCCGAGCGGAGCCUUCUGAACCCUCCGCCGAAGCAACUUACAUCUGCUCGUUCCUACAUCGGAACAAAGACAUUGUCUAUCUCGGACAAAGGAAAGCUUUUCUCUGAAGUGUUUGCCAGCAGUCUGAGUUAAAUAGGCCUUUAUAAAACCAAAUCGUACUCGGCGAGCCAGCUCCGGAGGGUGCCGGGGCGGCAGCACCCACCGCACGGUCGGGCUGCCGGAGGACGGCUCGGCGGGGCUGCGGCCGCCGACCCCCCCAGCUCUUCGGAAAGGAGUCUUGGGGCUGUUUGGGCCCUGUUCCAGGUUGCCAGCUGCAGGAGGGAAACCACAGCCGUCGCGGGUGAUGCCGACGAGCGCGCUCGUGGGUCGCUCGGGAAGCUGUGCUGCUGGCCGAGACCCGCGGGAAGGCGGUGGGCAUAGGCAGGAGCGCGGAGGAGGAAGGCGACGUUAACUGCAUUAACAGGCACCUCCGUGCAGCCUCGGGAAAGGGGGGAGAAGCAAGAGGGGGGAGAGCAGAGAAGCUCUAGGCUGUUAGGGCUGGGGGCUCGGGCCCCGCGGGGUUCAGACCCGUGCUCCGCCGCUGACAUCCCACGCGAGGAUGAAGAAGGUGCUCCUUCCUCGUCUAACACUGCCUCAGCUGGCAGCAGCAGAACAAGGCAGUCCAGGUGAUUUUGACAACAGCUCUGAGGAUUUAUAUUAAAAACCUUAGUUGCCAUUUUUAGCUCAGCGGAGGGAACGCAAUCAAACACGUUUUCCCUAUGGCGCAAGUUGGGGUACGAACGUGUAAUGUCACUUCUUUUAACUGGCCUUGCAUCCGUGUGCUGUAGCGAGGACCCGCGGUCCAGCAAUUUCCACCUGGGGUCUCAGAACACGUAGGCAGAGUGUGCGGUACGUGACGCGGGAAAACAUCCCGCCGGGAGUCGGGAGAAGUGAUCCGCUCUGCUUCCCUGCAACCGCUUCUUCACUGGCGAGGUUGCUGUGCUGCCUUCAGAUGCUAUUGCUCAAUUAAAAAUCUGCGCUGUAAAUGACUAAGGCUGUGCGUGUAAGCGUUUUAAGCAGAAACUGCAUGUGUUUCAACAAGCAGCAGAGACAAAUGCAAUUGCUUCUCAACUGCAGCGGAACUGGAGAAAACACAAAAUAGAACGGCGCAGUAUUUUCCUAGUUUUACAGUUCCCUACAGGUUUCCCUCGAAAUGGGACGAUGCGUGUGGCUCUGGUCUUAUGAGGAACAGCUCGUGAUUUAUAGAAGAGGCACAUACCCUGUGCCCCCCCCGUGCCACCCCCCAUCGUGCUUUUUAGUCGCUGACAGCGUUUCCCCCGAAUUUGUUUCAUUCCCCGUCACACAACUGAUUUCCUUUUGCGAACCCAAGUCUUUAAUGUUAGAGCUGGAUUUGCAGUUUGAACGAUCGGCGUUUUUCUCGCUGUCACAAGGCACGGGGUCCUGCCGCACCGGCUACGGCCCCAGCGCGGUAGGUACCAGGCAGGCACAGACAGAAAGCUGCUCGCAGCCCAAGUACGGCACCAGACGCCGGGCAGAGACACGAGCCUGCAGGUUGCAAGCCGCGGGCAGGAACAACGGCGUGCGGAAAAAAACCUCGCGGGGCCUUCAGGGGUGAAGGGAUCGGAGCUGCGCCGGCCGCCGCCGUCCCCGCGGGACCCCCUGCGCGGGGGGACGGUGGCGGGGGACCUGGCAACGGGAGAGAAAGAGAGAUGAGGUUAAAUACGGGAGGCACCGGGGAGGGAUGCAAAGAGGCAAGGGGAAUGCCCGGAUGGACGAGCCAGGGGAAUCAUUUUGAUUUGGUGUUUGACGGGCCGGGGAAGCCGAAGGACACGAAACGUGCGGCAAUGGAGAGCGGAGACGAGCACAGCGCGGUGAAGCUUUUCACGAACUACGUGACAGCGGGCAAGGACCAGGGUUCAGAAGAGCCGUGAUGGAAAAAACGAGCCCCAGCGGCCGAGCGAAGCCAACAGCGAGCGCGGAUGCAAGGCUCGCGGCGAUCCCGUCCCACGGCCCGCCCACGGCGAGGACCACGUCCCCGGGGAAGGAACGAGCGGAGGGAAUCCAGCAGGAAAAAAGAAGGUGCUUCUUACUGCCUGCGUGCCGCCCCAGCCGGCAGCCAGGCACCCGGCCAGGGCCGGCCUGGGCAAGCGCCGGCGUGGCCAGUGGCCGCCUUUGGGGACCGGAAGGCGAAAAAACAAAGACCUCGCGGUUUUUUUGUAAAA